UGGGGAAUAUUGGACAAUGGGCGAAAGCCUGAUCCAGCCAUGCCGCGUGUGUGAAGAAGGCCUUUUGGUUGUAAAGCACUUUAAGUGGGGAGGAAAAGCUUAUGGUUAAUACCCAUAAGCCCUGACGUUACCCACAGAAUAAGCACCGGCUAACUCUGUGCCAGCAGCCGCGGUAAUACAGAGGGUGCAAGCGUUAAUCGGAAUUACUGGGCGUAAAGCGCGCGUAGGUGGUUAUUUAAGUCAGAUGUGAAAGCCCCGGGCUUAACCUGGGAACUGCAUCUGAUACUAGAUAACUAGAGUAGGUGAGAGGGGAGUAGAAUUCCAGGUGUAGCGGUGAAAUGCGUAGAGAUCUGGAGGAAUACCGAUGGCGAAGGCAGCUCCCUGGCAUCAUACUGACACUGAGGUGCGAAAGCGUGGGUAGCAAACAGGAUUAGAUACCCUGGUAGUCCACGCCGUAAACGAUGUCUACCAGUCGUUGGGUCUUUUAAAGACUUAGUGACGCAGUUAACGCAAUAAGUAGACCGCCUGGGGAGUACGGCCGCAAGGUUA
rnacentral:rRNA from 1 species